AAACUUCUUGCUCUUGCCUCCUGACUACUGGAAUAACCUAGCCUUGCAAGUAAAGAAACUGAAGACCAGAAAGUGAGGGGCCCAGAGAACAAGGCUAAAUGUCUUCUGCACAGCACAGUAGCCACCAGGAUGCAGAAGAACCUUUCAUGAGGGUCUGUCUCCUGAGCCCCGCCUCUAGCACUAACUCAUGGCUUCCCCAGUCUGUCUCAUCUGCAUGCUUUCUUCUCUUAUCCUGAAUUUCUAAAAAAAAAAAAAAAACUUUUAGAAAAAUUUUAGAAUUCCACACUGUCAGCAAAGUUGCAGGAAAAGCACCAACUCCUGAGCUCCUUUCACCAGCAUUCUGUUCAUGUGCUCAGUGGAGCCCACAUUCUUCUCUGUGCAUAGAUUUGCAUGUAUAUGAACACACAUGCAUGUUGGACAGCCAUGUUCUGAAACCAUGUUCUGAGAGUGCAUUGCAGAAAUGAUGUUCUUUUUGUUCCUGAAUAUUUUGGUUUAUAUUUUCCUAAAACAAAGAUAUACUUGGUAUCUGUAGUGCCCUUGUCAAAGCCAAAAAAAUACUGGUUUGGAGAUGGGUUCUUCUGUAACCAAGACUGGCUUAGAACUCCUGAUCCUCCUGCUUUACCUCCCACGAAUUGGAAUUACAGUUGGGUACCACCGCACCUGGCCGAAAUCAGCAGCUGGGGCAGAGAAAUGACCUUGCCUGCUUGUGCCAACAGCUGGGUUCCUGCCCCAACCCAGGAAUCUGCCAGGAGAGGUGGGGACUCAGUGCCAAGAUGGGCCAGUUGCCAGGACCUACAGGAAGGAGAAGGCCUCCAAAGACCUCGCCCACCACCCAGUCCUCAGUUGUCCUGCAUCUGGCUCGUGACUCUCCACCGUUGCCAUGGAUGUUUACAGAGGUUACCUCUCUGCACUUCACCCACAACUGCACCCGCCUCCCCCACUUUACCUCCGGAAAGGACGUGGAGAGCCGAAGUAAGAUGCAAGUAGACUCAUACUUAGGCUGGCCCCUCCAACAUGGUUUGAUGCCGGUUGAGCCUUAGGCCUGGGGAGACUUCAGACCCAAGACUGCUAAUCACAGCGUCAGGGAGUCACUCUGAAAAGGGAUGCACCAAGUCCCAGGGCAGGGUUUAACCUCUCCAGGUUUACAGAACUGAGAUGCCACACUGGGGAAGGUCAUGCUGUCUCUGGUAGAAAUCUAUUUUUGGAAGUGUGAGUGGUGUGGAAAGUGUGAGUGGUGUAGAUACUUGAUUUCCAUAAACCUGUAAAAGCAAUACUCAGAGGCUGACUUAUUUCAUUAAAAAAAUGUAAGCAACU
rnacentral:lncRNA from 1 species